CCGCUUUUAGCUCAGUGGUCGAGCGUUGGCUUUGGAAGCCACAGGUCAGUGGUUCGAACCCGCCAGGGCACA
rnacentral:tRNA from 2 species